CUCGUAGGCGGUUCGUCGCGUCCGGUGUGAAAGUCCAUCGCUUAACGGUGGAUCCGCGCCGGGUACGGGCGGGCUUGAGUGCGGUAGGGGAGACUGGAAUUCCCGGUGUAACGGUGGAAUGUGUAGAUAUCGGGAAGAACACCAAUGGCGAAGGCAGGUCUCUGGGCCGUCACUGACACUGAGGCGCGAAAGCGUGGGGAGCAAACA
rnacentral:rRNA from 1 species